rnacentral:rRNA from 1 species
GUGCCAGCAGCCGCGGUAACACGGAAGCCCCGAGCAUUGUUCGGAUUCAUUGGGCGUAAAGGGUGCGUAGGCGGCGCGGAAAGUCCGGCGUGAAAGACAGGGGCUCAACCUCUGGACUGCGUUGGAUACUUCCGUGCUUGAGGACUGGAGGGGAGACUGGAAUUCACGGUGUAGCAGUGAAAUGCGUAGAUAUCGUGAGGAAGACCGGUGGCGAAGGCGAGUCUCUGGACAGAUCCUGACGCUGAGGCACGAAGGCUGGGGGAGCGAACAGGAUUAGAUACCCUGGUAGUCCCAGCAGUAAACGAUGUGAGCUUGAUGUGGGGGGAUUUGACCCCUUCCGUGUCGAAGCUAACGCGAUAAGCUCACCGCCUGAGGAGUACGGCCGCAAGGCUAAAACUCAAAGAAAUUGACGGGGACCCGCACAAGCGGUGGAGUAUGUGGCUUAAUUCGAUGCAACGCGAAGAACCUUACCUGGCCUUGACAUGCAUUGUGUCGUCGGUGAAAGCCGGCUAGUCCUGGAAACAGGACGCUUUGCACAGGUGCUGCAUGGCUGUCGUCAGCUCGUGUCGUGAGAUGUUGGGUUAAGUCCCGCAACGAGCGCAACCCUUGUGGUCAGUUACUAACCGGCUUAGCCGGAGGACUCUGGCCAGACUGCCCUGUCAAACGGGGAGGAAGGUGGGGACGACGUCAAGUCAGUAUGGCCCUUAUGGCCAGGGCUGCACACGUACUACAAUGCCCGGUACAAUGUGAACCGAAACCGCGAGGUGGAGGAAAUCGCUCUUGAAAACCGGGCCCAGUUCGGAUUGGAGUCUGCAACUCGACUCCAUGAAGUCGGAAUCG